rnacentral:rRNA from 1 species
AUGGCUGAGCUUGAAAGGGCUAUGAAAUUGUUCAAGGUUCAAAAGUUUGACCUCCUUUUUUUCACAAUUGUGCAUGAUCGCCAUUGGAUAGUUGUUUGCGCAAACUUGCUUCACAAGCAGUGGAAUGUAUUUGACUCAAUCCAUUCAAAAGGAAAACAAUCUCCUUUGAAGAAGCAAGCCAAUAACCUGAUCACAAACUUUACAACCCUCGCACAAGAGUGCAGCGAAUUCAAUGUCAAUGUUGGAUCCUUCGCCCGUGUUGACCUAGAGGAUUACCCAAAGCAAGAUACCCUAUGUGAUUGUGGCUUUUUUGGGCUCAAAUAUGUGGAGAACUAUGAUGGGAAGUCAAUGAGAGAGUUCAAGCAGGAAGACAUGGCGCGAUACCGCAUCAAUGUGGCAUACAACCUUUUCAGUCACCCAAUGAACAAUGCCCCAAAGGAGCGGGCGUUCAAGGAUGAGUUGGCGGCUUGA